rnacentral:tRNA from 1 species
GCCCGAGUGGCUCAGUUGGUUGAGCGUCUGACUUUGGCUCAGGUCACGAUCUCACAGUUUGUGAGUUCGAGCCCCACGUUGGGCU